GUGCUAGUUUCCAAGGCAACUAAGUAACCGGAAACGGAAGUUCAUCCAAGGGGCGGCGGUUAGCUCUGAGAAACAACCAACCAAAUUGGUGUGGGCAGUAGGCUUCUCACUUCAAUGUGUCAACUGCAGCUUCAAACAGACGGACAAUAGCCAGUGGGGUUGUGUAUCCCCUAGUUCCUGGUAUAACAAGGAAAAGGCUGAAGUAAGUGUACAGUCACUCCUACUACAUAACAGCUGACUUUACUUACUUUCAUCCUGCCCUCAUCAGAGAAUUAGCAGCCAUGUGACUUCUUAGACAUCAUCACACAAGGGACAUUCAUGCAAUCAAUAAGAAGGAAGGAACAAAUCACACCCAUUUCAUGUGUGUGGAGUGAGUCUUUGGUCCACCAACGAUCUCCACAGAAAGCAGGAUGGCCCGUUUAGGAGCUCAGUUCCAUUCAAUUCUGAUCAUCUCAAACCCAUCUCCACUAAGAACAGGGAGGCAAUGAAGAGAUUAGGGCCGAAUCUGUAAUGCCAUUGAUUGAGUUUUAAGAGCCUGAGUUCAGUUUUUUGAAACAGUGGAGCUGUCUGUACACCGACUCAACAAGAUCACUCCUGGGGCUGGGGAUUUGGCUCAGUGGCAGAGCACUUGCCUAGGAAGCGCAAGGCCCUGGGUUCGGUCCCCAGCUCCGAAAAAAAGAACCAAAAAAAAAAAACAAGAUCACUCCUGUUUAGUUGGAGAGCCAUUUCAUCUCACGAGGGGCUUACCUUUCAGAGAAAUCUUCCUCAAUAUCGAAAUAAGAUCUUUCUUGAAUGGACUUUGAUUUUGAUCAAGUAGCUUGUAUUUUCAAGUCUACAGUGUUACUAAACCAACUUAUCUCAGAUUGUUUAGGAGUGUUAUAGUUUACAAAAGGGAUCAGCGAAGAAGGCAAAACUGUGGAUCCUAAUUUGUAAAACAGUCGGGCAGCCUUUAAAAGACAGAGCUACUCCAAACCCCAGGAAGGAUGCACUCUGUUCAUCACUAAGCCCACUUUGCCUAACUUCCCCCAUUCAUCCCCACAGACCUUUUGUGAGUUAGAGAUCUUCAUUUCCACCUCACUGCAGGCUGCAAUACACAAAGAAGCCAGUGGCUGCAGUGGGCAGUGCUGGUAUUUGCUUAUACUGACCAGUAGAGGGCCUCGCUGCACCUCCUCCCUCUCUUCCCUGGGCGUCUCCUCCCCCAGUCAUUUGAAUUGGCUCUAGAUUAUUUGUUGCAAUUCAUUCUGACCGAAGAGGCGCAAUGGUGUGAGGAUUUUAAAGUUUAAGCACCGAAGCCAUGGCAUAGUUGUAUCAUGUCACUGUGGCUGUCAGCCCUGUGUGAAUGCGACCCCACCUUCUGUAACUGUUCAUGCAGACUUCAGCAAUGCACAACGGAUGCAGGGAGAGCUUUGGGCUGCAGAAUUCUACCUCCAGACAACCUUCCAUAACUCUGAGAAUCUUUCGUCAGUUUAAAAAACGAGGCCCCAGGAUUCCUCUCUCACAAUCAGACAGAACUGGCCAAAGUCAAUGAGCAAAAUUGUCACCAUUUAAAUGGUAGAAGCCUGCAAAGUUACCCCAAACCGAGAGGCCCAUCAGCAGCCAGCUAGGAUGGACUCCUGUCCUGCUGUGUACUGGUAGGUACCCUCGGCUGGCUGCCCAGUUGCUCUCACCCACCAGAAUCUCCAGCUGUGUUGUAGCUUGUGCACGGAUGAGAUAAUGCUCACUAGUAUGAAUAAAUACAAUUUCUGAAAAAAAAAUACAUCUCAUACAAAAGUGGGAUGGACUCAUCUCAGCUGUUCAUGCCUAAAGACCUGAGGAAGAAGACAAUCUUGUCUGAGUUUCAGUUUGAAGAAGUUUCAUCUUUCAAAUGCCUUCUGCCAGCAAGAACCAACAGUGGUCAAUAAAGAUCGGCAAGUUCCCUCUUUCUGUGCUUCAGAAAAGCCAACUACAGAGAUCGGCACAUGACUCAGGUUCGUGAGAAGGAAACUGCUUUGCAGGGGCUUUAAAAAUACCGUCAAGUCCUAGAUUUCCAACCUCUAAGCUCCAGGGUUUGACACCAAGCAGGCUACCACCCUCUCUCGCACUUCCCCAUAGCCAUGGAGGAACAGAGCCGGGGACAUUAGUCAGCAGUUUCUGAAUCUUGACCCACAAUGGGAAAGAUACCCGAGCCAGGGGAAAUAGAUGGAGGCAAUUACAAACAGCUACUUGAUUGAUGGUUGACAUUGUCAGGCCUCCACUGUCUGGCAAAUUGCAAUGGUGUUGAACUCCCUUUGCUACCAGUGGAUGUUGCUAUUGGCAACCGUGCAGUAAAGCCAAUAAAAAGGCAAGAAGAGGAGAGGAAAACUCAACCUUUGUGGAAGCCGUAGGGUCUGUGCUAUAAAUUAUGUGCCCCUCAGCACUAUGUAGUAUCGACAUUCAGGGUGGAGGGGACCUGUCUCAUUGCUGCCUGCAGUCUCUGGAAGACCCUAGGUUCGGUAUUAUCAUAAAGCACACGUUUGAAAUUCUUGGCUGCAGAUGGACUGGUAUCCGUUUUUCUGCCUAUUUAUUUAUUUAUUGUUUGGAAGGGUACCAGAUGUGUGCUCACUGCAACCUCAUAUGGACUGACUCUCGAUUCCCAUCUUAGAUAUAAACGUGAUGAGGUGAUGUGGUGCAGUACCGGAAGGCACCUGGGCUGCAGACCAGAUGAUCAUGCAGACGGCCCAGCCCCACCCCAACCCUGUCUAUUCCUAGCUCCGCCUCUCCUUUGUUCCUCACCUGAAGGAGGGGAGACAGCUCUGCAGAAGCUAUUUUCCUUUAUAGCAGAGUGAUUCAGAAAACCGGCUUAAUAAAAUCCAUAAAUCUGAA
rnacentral:sRNA from 1 species